GCAGCUGGAACAGUAAACUGAGCGACAAUAAACAAUAUCAGUCCUAUGCAAGUCAGCGUUUGCUGGCGACACUUUCGAAUUGCGGGGAACUCCUAAGAGCCUUUUACACCAAACCAGCGUGGGAAACCUGCUGGCGGCCUGUGGGAAACUACAGGGUAUGGUAAUAGUGAAAAGGAUGAGCCAACUUUGUUGGUGAAAUGGACAAUCCGCAGCGAAGCCCCUGCAGUUUAUGGUAGUUAGUUACCAAACAUGGGGAACGUUCACAGACUAAGUGGAAGUGGGUGGGGUACUAUUGUGCCCUGCUUAAGAUAUAGUCGAGCCCCUCUGGAAACUUUGGGGGAGGAUUUAACUUGGUUUCCAAGCUACUCCUUACACUGUUCCGUAGGUGAACCUGCGGAAGGAUCAUUACACUCAGUAGUUUACUACUGUAAAGGGGGCUGUUAGUCUGUAUAGCGCAAGCUGAUGAGCAGCUGGCCUCUUUUAUCACCCUUGUCUUUUGCGUACCCACGUUUCCUCGGUAGGCUUGCCUGCCGAUUGGACAACCCUAUAACCUUUUUAAUUUUCAAUCAGCGUCUGAAAAACUUAAUAAUUACAACUUUCAACAACGGAUCUCUUGGUUCUGGCAUCGAUGAAGAACGCAGCGAAAUGCGAUAAGUAGUGUGAAUUGCAGAAUUCAGUGAAUCAUCGAAUCUUUGAACGCACAUUGCGCCCCUUGGUAUUCCAUGGGGCAUGCCUGUUCGAGCGUCAUUUGUACCCUCAAGCUCUGCUUGGUGUUGGGUGUUUGUCCUCUCCCUUGUGUUUGGACUCGCCUUAAAACAAUUGGCAGCCAGUGUUUUGGUAGUGAAGCGCAGCACAAGUCGCGAUUCCUAUCAAAUACUUGCACCCACAAGCCUUUUUAACUUUUGACCUCGGAUCACGUAGGGAUACCCGCUGAACUUAAGCAUACUCA
rnacentral:rRNA from 1 species